UUCCUCCUCCUGCUCUCGCCUCGCUCUGCUCCCGCCUCGCUCUGCUCCGCGGCCGUCGGAACUAGGUGAGAGCUGGCAGCUCUGGAGCGAGGGGCCCGGGUGCCCCGGCUGGCCGGACCCCCCCUCACCCGGCCGGGACUAAUGGAGAAGCGCGGGGACGGUGGUGUGAGAGGAUAGUCGGUGCCCCACGCCUGAAGCCGUCAGCCCGCCGUUUGUUAAUAAGGGGAGCCUCAUCUCUCCGAGCCCCUGGGAAAGCUGGGAGCACGCGCGCGCACACACACUGAUACACCGACGUCCACAUUUGAUCCGGAGAAACUGGGUGCCUGCCCCUUUUCGAGUCUUCGAAGACUGAGAGACUGGAACCAGAUGGGAAAGAGGAGGCCUGGAUAGGCCCGAAGCGCCCCGCGGAGGCUUCCUCCUGCGUGGGGUGCGACUCCUCCCCCUCCCGCGUCGGGUGCGACUCCCCCCACCCCAGCUGCAACAUUCUGGGUUUCCGUUUGCCGUGGAAGAGCCGGGGGCUUUUGUGACAGCAAGAAACAAGGUGACAUGAGAGAUUUGACUGGGCCCUGCGCUGAAGAGCUUACUGGUAGAAUUAAUCCCUAAAGAGACUGAAGUGGGUUUCAGGAUGGCGAAAGAGGAGCCCCCGAGUACUUCAAAGGACUUGCAGGAGCUGCAGAAGAAGCUGUCUUUGCUGGUAGAGUCUGUCCAGAAUAACCCAAAGGUGGUUGCCUUCAUGAAGUCUCCGGUGGGUCAGUACCUGGACAGGCAUCCUUUCCUGACCCUCACCUUGCUGGUGUUUGUUGCUGUGUCAGCUGUCCCUGUUGGCUUCUUCCUGCUCCUGGUGGUGCUCACCUCCCUGGCUGCUUUUGUGGGAGUCAUAUUACUGGAAGGACUGGUCAUCUCUGUGGGCGGCCUCUCACUGCUUUGUGUCCUCUGUGGCUUGGGCUUCGUGUCGCUUGCCUUGUCGGGGAUAAUCAUAGUGUCUUACGUGGUGGUCUCCAGCCUCAUCAGCUACUGGUUUUCUCCCAGGCUACCAUGGCAACAGGUGUUCAUUCCAGCAGCUGCUCCACAGCCAGCCUGGCUUUCCUCUCUCAAAGUUCUGCCUCAGCAUUUGCAAACACAUCAGAACCAACCUGCCAGGGGACAGCCUCGAGGCCCAGGUCACCUUAGUAUUGACCUCUGACUCUACACUAACAGAGCAACUUGCAAAUAAGAAGCUCCAGCUCCACAAUCAAGAUACUGGCAUCUUGGACCAGCUGUGCUUGGGCUCAAGUCGCUCAUCUGUAAAAUGUGCACGUCCAGCAAAGUGUCUUUCCAAGUUGGGGGUAGUGACUCGUUAGGAGGUAACCGAUGAAGCCGAGAGUUCCCACAACGCCUGCUAAGGCAACCCCAGCCACCACAGUUUUAAAGGCAACAAAACCAGCAGUCCCAUGCCCUUUGGACUCCACAGCGCCUGGAAAGGAAGCAGACAUUCCAGUCUUAAGAUCGUAUUUAAAUCGAGUGUAAGUUGAAGCUGAAACUUUACAUGUAAGCUCCCCAGAGAAGGAAGUGAAUUUAAACUUCAAAAGGACUCGUCUGGGAUGCUUGCAACAGCAUAGUCCUACCCCUCCAGCCAAACCCCCCCCUCUCCCGACCCCACUCCCACAGCUGGCAUUUCCUCCUUGCUUUUACUCCCCUCAAGAUCAGAUGGGCUGACACCCGGAAAGGACCUUACGGUCCCAAGCGUGCCGUUUAACAUUCUGGCACUGACAGAUGUGGUUAGUUGUCCCAAGGGCAUGGUCUCUUGCAGGUUGUUAGCUAGGGAUUUAAGAGAGCUUAAUGACAAGUUCGAGGCCUACAAUUAUGACUAUUGGGGGUGAGGAUAUGGGACAACAAUAACAUCAACAAUAAAGGCUUAAGUUUGGUAGUAACAAGACAUGUCUUUGAAACUCUAAGUCUCACUUUUAGAAAUAUACCCUGACGUCCUUGAAUCGUAGGCCAAGAUUUAAGGUUUCCAUCGUGGCGUUAGUGACAAAACUGGAAGUAACGCAGAUGGAAUUCUUUCUAGUUAUUAACAGUGAGAGGUCUCUUUGCAGAUAUAAGAUGGCUAAAACAAAUAGUUACGGACGAGUAGGUACAAUAUAUGAUCCCACUCGUGGGGAGGGGAGACUUGGGGAAGGGUACACAAGAGACUUAACAGAGCCUACUGCUGGGAAGAGACUAUUAUUCCCUUCUUGUUUCUCAUGAGCAUGUAUUAUCUAUGCACAAUUAAAUUUGACAGAAACCCAAGAAGCUGAGUCCAAGAAGUACCCAAGGCUUUAAAUCCAUACCUCUGAGUGAAGAGCCGUCUAACAGGAGGAUGGGGCCCGGGAGACUGACUAUCAUUUUCUCUUCCUCAGUGGCCCCUGUGGCUGGAGACAGACAGUUUGACCUCUGAGAUAAUGGACAGUGGUAAGAAGUAUGCUGAUGGAAUACACAGAGCAGCUCUCUGCGGAGGCCAUGCUCUGUAUAGUUUUGCCUGCCUUUGCAGAAGAGGCAAAUGCCUUACUGUAAAAGCAGGAGGAACUGUGAAAGAAUAUCCAAAGACAGAAUU